UGAUCACCGGGUCGGGCUUAAAAGAGAGACACCACCCACCUGUUCUCCGCUCAGACAUUGAUCUCUUCAUGUCAGGAGCUCCGAACCCUCGCCGACGUCAGUCUCCGCCUGCUUCAGCAACCUGUUGUGUCAUCAUUCAGCACCACUGAUGAUCACUAGAUGGAAGCAGGAGCCCGAGAGUGAAACUGUGUGUUCAGCAGCUGUUGUGUGUCGCCGUGCUGUGAUCUGAGAGUCAGCUGAUCGACUCAAAAUGAGAGUAAACUACAACAGGUCGGACUUCUCUGACACCAGGGAGACGAUGAAGGAGAGAGUAAAAAGAAGCUGAAAAUCAGACUGACGACCUGGAGAACCACGUCCGAAGGAAGAACCUGCGUCUGUUUGGUCUCUGGGACGGCGCCGAGGAUCAGCAGUUGCACCCUAACAUCUCUAAAGCCAAACCAACACAGGUGUCCUUAUCUGAUUCCUGAACCUCCAAGAUUGGGAGUUUGUUUUCCGCUCCACAAAACAGCUUAACAUCGAGCACGAUGGAACAAACUCCGUCCAGCAGCGAGCCGAGUUCAACAUCAUCAGAAAAGUGUUCGCUGAG